GUGAGCCUGACAACAGCGCUAUUACAGGAGAAGGGAUGAGAAGCUGUUUUGGCGCCUAAAUGCAGGAUAUGAUGAGUAAGUACUGAGAAUAUUGAGAUGACGUCUGGGUAGCCCAGCAUACCUUACAGCUCAGCAAGGUCACAUGACCACAGGCUCAUUAUUUAGCAGGGGUGACCAAGAACUCAAGUGUAAGCUCCUCCGAGGGGAUAGAUGUGAAAUUUGUGCUCGGUCUUCAGGAUUGUGCCCUAACCCACGAUCCUAUUAGGAGUAUCACUUCCUCUGAUCGGCCAUUCUUUCAAGCUGCCAAGAAAUUUAUCGAUGAGGUGAAUGGACAUGAAAUAUCUGCCUUAGAAGAGGCUCCAGAAGUGCCAUGAAAUUAUCCCCUGAAAGCUUCAGAGAGAUGUGUGGUUUAUCAUCAAUUAUUAAAGGUGUAAUGAAGAAACUGCCCUACAGCGACAGACAACACCAAAGUUAUUUCCUUUCAGAAGCCAAAAGCAAUAAAAGACUCCAGAAAUGAAGAAUGUUAUAAAUUCA